rnacentral:rRNA from 1 species
GAAGGCCGCUACCUGGCGACGGGAUGCCAAUCCCCAAAACCUACUCUCAGUUCUGAUCGAAGUCUGCAACCCGACUUCGUGAAGCUGGAUUCGCUAGUAAUCGCGCAUCAGCCAUGGCGCGGUGAAUACGUUCCCGGGCCUUGUACACACCGCCCGUCAAGCCAUGAAAGCCGGGGGUACCUGAAGUACGUAACCGCAAGGAUCGUCCUAGGGUAAAACUGGUAAUUGGGGCUAAGUCGUAACAAGGUAGC